rnacentral:rRNA from 1 species
CAAUAGCGUAUAUUAAAGUUGUUGCGGUUAAAAAGCUCGUAGUUGGAUCUCGGCAGGCAGGGGGUGGUUCGCUCUUAGCGCUACUGCCCCAUUUGCCUGUGUGAUUGGCGGAGGUUUCGGGGUGCUCUUCGUUGAGUGACCCGGGGCGCCGUCAGGUUUACUUUGAAAAAAUUAGAGUGCUCAAAGCAGGCUUUUCACGCUUGAAUAUUCGUGCAUGGAAUAAUGGAAUAGGAACUCGUUUCUAUUUUGUUGGUUUUCGGAAAUCGAGUUAAUGAUUAAUAGGGACAAUUGGGGGCAUUAGUAUUCAGACGACAGAGGUGAAAUUCUUGGACCGUCCGAAGACUAACUACUGCGAAAGCAUUUGCCAAGAGUGUUUUCAUUAA